rnacentral:lncRNA from 1 species
UCCAGCUAGCGAACAUAAUUUUUUUAUUUUUUUUUAUUAGAAAAUUGACAUUGCCAACAAACGGAAAUAGAUAUACACAAUAUGUAAAAUCCAGCUCCUCCUUCGACAGAGAUCGAUCGUCUCGAUAACUAAACAUGAUACGCCGGCAUAGGGGUGGAGGGGCAAGACCAUGCAGGAUCCUAAAGACAAAGCUUGCAUCUACACACUGCUUAAAGUAAUUAUGUUUGUAAAUUAUAUGACAAUGGUGGUGGUAACUGUUAGGUUUGUUAUCAAAAAUCUUAAGUGUUUGUUUGUAGAGUAGCUCCUGCUUGUGACCAGCAUGUGAGGCAAUAUCUCAGAUGUGAGAAGACCAUAGCAUGCAUAUAUAGUUUUGCGGCCUCCAGAGGAAGGAGCGGUCUUAUAAACCUAAAGUUGGAUAAUCCAAACUUAACCGUGUUAACCACCUUCUUCACAUGUUUCUUACAUGUCGAGUUGGAGUCCAAAAUGACGCCGAGAUACCUGAAGUUAGACACAACUUUCAGAUUCUCCCCAUUGCAAGAACAGCUCGUUGGGAAGAAUCAAUGGAUUUCUUAGAGAAGUACAAACAAACAGUUUUGUCGAUAUUUAAAUGCAGGCAAUAAUUACUCAUCCAUUUAGAAACAUGUACCAUAGCUUCAGUUAACUUGUUCACAACUAAUUGGCUAUUUUUGGAGUGUACAUACAGAACCGUAUCGUCUGCAUACAUCCGCAUGUUAACUUGUGUUCAAGCAAGUGGGAGAUCAUUUAUAUAGAUGGUAAACAGAAGGAGGCCUAAUAUUGACGCUGUGGGACCCCAAUGUUAUAGUAAAGAGAGUCCGACUGAGUGUCCCCCAAACGAACCCUUUGACUUCUGUUUGUCAGAUAGGAAUACAUCCAACUAAUGACUUCAGUGGACACAUUAAGUGAGGAUAGUUUAGAUAGGAGGACCUCAUGAUCCAAAAAGACCACCUAUGUCCAGUUUAGAUUUAAUGCACUUCAGAAAAUAGCAAUUGUCUGUUUCGGUAGAAUGGUUAGUUUUCAAUCCAAAUUGCAUUUGAUGUAUAGGGUUGCCUUGAAUGAGGUCAGUCAGAUGAUCAGCCACCCAUCUUUCAGCUACCUUUGAUAGGACUGUAAGAAUGCUUAUAG